rnacentral:rRNA from 1 species
ACACAUGCAAGUCGAACGGUGAAGCCCUUCGGGGUGGAUCAGUGGCGAACGGGUGAGUAACACGUGGGCAAUCUGCCCUGCACUCUGGGACAAGCCCUGGAAACGGGGUCUAAUACCGGAUAUUACCUUCCUCUGCAUGGGGGUUGGUGGAAAGCUCCGGCGGUGCAGGAUGAGCCCGCGGCCUAUCAGCUUGUUGGUGGGGUAAUGGCCUACCAAGGCGACGACGGGUAGCCGGCCUGAGAGGGCGACCGGCCACACUGGGACUGAGACACGGCCCAGACUCCUACGGGAGGCAGCAGUGGGGAAUAUUGCACAAUGGGCGAAAGCCUGAUGCAGCGACGCCGCGUGAGGGAUGACGGCCUUCGGGUUGUAAACCUCUUUCAGCAGGGAAGAAGCGAAAGUGACGGUACCUGCAGAAGAAGCACCGGCUAACUACGUGCCAGCAGCCGCGGUAAUACGUAGGGUGCGAGCGUUGUCCGGAAUUAUUGGGCGUAAAGAGCUCGUAGGCGGCCUGUCGCGUCGGUUGUGAAAGCCCGGGGCUUAACCCCGGGUCUGCAGUCGAUACGGGCAGGCUAGAGUUCGGUAGGGGAGAUCGGAAUUCCUGGUGUAGCGGUGAAAUGCGCAGAUAUCAGGAGGAACACCGGUGGCGAAGGCGGAUCUCUGGGCCGAUACUGACGCUGAGGAGCGAAAGCGUGGGGAGCGAACAGGAUUAGAUACCCUGGUAGUCCACGCCGUAAAC